rnacentral:pre_miRNA from 1 species
AAGGAGCUCACAGUCUAUUGAGUUGCCUCUCUAACUUUCCCACUAGAUUGUAAGCUCCUGGA